rnacentral:rRNA from 1 species
CAAUAAGCGGAGGAAAAGAAACCAACAGGGAUUGCCCCAGUAACGGCGAGUGAAGCGGCAACAGCUCAAAUUUGAAAUCUGGCCCCUCCCCCGGGGGGGCCCGAGUUGUAAUUUGCAGAGGAUGCUUCUGGCGAGGUGCCUUCCGAGUUCCCUGGAACGGGACGCCACAGAGGGUGAGAGCCCCGUCUGGUCGGACACCGAGCCUCUGUGAAGCUCCUUCGACGAGUCGAGUAGUUUGGGAAUGCUGCUCUAAAUGGGAGGUAUAUGUCUUCUAAAGCUAAAUACCGGCCAGAGACCGAUAGCGCACAAGUAGAGUGAUCGAAAGAUGAAAAGCACUUUGAAAAGAGGGUUAAACAGUACGUGAAAUUGUUGAAAGGGAAGCGCUCACGACCAGACCUGGUCCCGGCGAAUCACCCGGCGUUCUCGCCGGUGCACUUCGACGGGCUUCCAGGCCAGCAUCAGUCCGCGCCGGGGGACAAAGGCGGCGGGAACGUGGCUCCCCAGGGAGUGUUAUAGCCCGCCGCGCAAUGCCCCGGGGGCGGACUGAGGACCGCGCGUCACCGCAAGGAUGCUGGCGUAAUGGUCUUCAGCGACCCGUCUUGAAACACGGACCAAGGAGUCGUCCUCGUAUGCGAGUGUUGGGGCGUCAAACCCCCCGCGCGUAAUGAAAGUGAACGGCAGGUGAGAGCCCUCGCGGGCGCAUCAUCGACCGAUCCUGAUGUUCUCGGAUGGAUUUGAGUAAGAGCAUACGGGGCCGGACCCGAAAGAAGGUGAACUAUGCCUGUGUAGGGUGAAGCCAGAGGAAACUCUGGUGGAGGCUCGCAGCGGUUCUGACGUGCAAAUCGAUCGUCAAACAUGGGCAUGGGGGCGAAAGACUAAUC